AGUCAUAUGCUUGUCUCAAAGAUUAAGCCAUGCAUGUGUAAGUACAGACCGAUUUAAGGCGAAACCGCGAAUGGCUCAUUAAAUCAGCUGUGGUUCAUUGGAUCUUAAACCCACUUACUUGGAUAACUGUGGUAAUUCUAGAGCUAAUACAUGCGUCCCGUCUCUGACCGCGAGGGAAGAGCGCUCUUAUUAGUCCAAAACUGGUCGGGCCUCGGUCCGUACUCCAAAGGUGGUGAAUCUGAAUAAUUUUGACCUGAGCGCAGGGUCUCUGCACCGGCGCCGUAUCUUUCAAGUGUCUGCCUUAUCAGCUCUCGACUGUAGGUUAUGUGCCUACAUUGGCUAUAACGGGUAACGGGGAAUCAGGGUUCGAUUCCGGAGAGGGAGCCUGAGAAACGGCUACCACAUCUAAGGAAGGCAGCAGGCACGCAAAUUACCCACUCCCGGCACGGGGAGGUAGUGACGAAAAAUAACGGUGCGAGACUCAUCCGAGGCCUCGCAAUCGGAAUGAGUACACUUUAAAUCCUUUAACGAGGAUCAAUUGGAGGGCAAGUCUGGUGCCAGCAGCCGCGGUAAUUCCAGCUCCAAUAGCGUAUAUUAAAGUUGUUGCAGUUAAAAAGCUCGUAGUUGG
rnacentral:rRNA from 1 species